rnacentral:rRNA from 1 species
GAUGAACGCUGGCGGCGUGCCUAAUACAUGCAAGUCGAACGAGGUGCCUUUGUAGCAAUACGAAGGUAUCCUAGUGGCGAACGGGUGAGUAACGCGUUGGUGACCUACCCCAAAGUGUGGGAUAACAGAUCGAAAGAUCUGCUAAUACCGCAUGUGGUCUUCGGAUUUAGAAACUGAUGACUAAAGGAGCAAUUCGCUUUGGGAGGGACCUGCGUCCCAUCAGCUAGUUGGUGAGGUAAUGGCUCACCAAGGCUACGACGGGUAGGGGACCUGAGAGGGUGGCCCCCCACAAUGGAACUGAAACACGGUCCAUACACCUACGGGUGGCAGCAGUAGGGAAUAUUGCACAAUGGGCGAAAGCCUGAUGCAGCAACGCCGCGUGUGCGAUGAAGGCCUUCGGGUCGUAAAGCACUUUUCUGAGGGAUGAGCAAGGACAGUACCUCAGGAAUAAGUUUCGGCUAACUACGUGCCAGCAGCCGCGGUAAUCUGAGUCGGAG